rnacentral:rRNA from 1 species
CGUGUAGGCGGGAAGGUAAGUCGGGCGUGAAAUCCCUGAGCUCAACUCAGGAACUGCACUCGAAACUACUUUUCUUGAGUGCCGGAGAGGAAAGCGGAAUUCCUGGUGUAGAGGUGAAAUUCGUAGAUAUCAGGAGGAACACCAGUGGCGAAGGCGGCUUUCUGGACGGUAACUGACGCUGAGACGCGAAAGCGGUGGGGAAGCAAACAG